GAUAAUCACGUGAUACGAACCAUUGACGUCAUCAAUGAGGAUAUCUGCCAACUGAAAUGCUACCUGGAGCCAAACUGUGUCAGCUAUAACUUUAAAAAGAUAGCAGAUACAGAUGGAAAACACAGAUGUGAUCUGAAUAACGUUACAUAUGAACACCACAACGAACACUCAGGAGACCUCGCGACGAACGAAAGUUAUGUAUAUCGCGGAGCUGAGAAUGCUUGUGCAAAGAAACUGUGCCAGAACAAUGCAACCUGCCAGGCCGGUUUUACAGACAGAGAUUACCAAUGUUUGUGCAUUCUCGGAUUUACUGGUCAUGACUGUGAAGUGGAUGUAAACGAGUGCACUAAAGAAACACACAAUUGUGAUGUUGAUGCUGUGUGUAACAACACCCGGGGAUCCUAUAACUGCACGUGUAAAGAUGGAUUUUAUGGAGAUGGAAUAAACUGUACUGGUAACUAUCUGUAACACAGUUUGGUUUUAAUAAUGCCUCUUAAUACCUCUUUUUCGUAUUCAAAAGCAAGGAAUUUUAUCAGACGGUGGGAAGUUUUUGUGUGAAGCAAUAAAAUAGUAACAAAUAAGGCACGCUAUGUUUCAGAGCAAAAAUAUACGUAAUCAUAACAUUCCAAUAAAAAGUUUCCCAGUUAUAGUUUUUUUGUUGUUUCAGAUAUCGACGAGUGUACCAACGGAACACAUAAGUGUGAUGUUAAUGCUGUGUGUAACAACACCCGGGGAUCCUAUAACUGCACAUGCAAAGAUGGAUUUCAUAGAGAUGGAAAAGACUGCACUGGUAACUAGAUGGAUGCAAAAAAUAUAUCAUUUUAGUAUAAUUGCUCAGGUAAUCAUAGAAAUUCUCGCGCUCUCAUUGGUCGAGAAUGGCGUCUUAUUCCGUUAUAUUAAACUCCGACUAAUUUUCAAAAUGAUCGCCUCGCGCUUUGUCGAUAUCUCUGAGGAAGAAAUGAAUAUAAUGAAAGAAAAUGCUAUUCCGGGAAACACCAAACAUGCUACAAAGUUCGGAGGGACACCUUUUUUCAAAAGUAGGAUGUGAAAAUUGUGCUAAAUAUUACAACGAAACCUGUUAAAUUCCCGUGCGCCGUGGCUGCAACUAAGAGCGGGCUACCGCAUGUUUGCAGUUCAGGAUGGUGGCCAGUGUUUUGCUGGUGCUACUGCGCCGCCGACCUUCGACAUGUAUGGAAACUCUACGGAGUGUGGGGCUGAUCGUGAAGGUGGAAUGUGGGCCAAUCAGGUUUACAUCAUCAAAGGUAAUAACGCAGCUAACAAUCGGUCAAACUGGAUCAUGGGCUCAUUUUAAAGACAUACAAAUAGAGGUCUGCCCUGCUUGGAUGACUCUUUUAGAAUUCUCAACAGGAUUGAUGGCUUUCUAAUGGCCAGUUCAAGUACAAUCACAAAACAAGCGGUGCCGUGCGGCUAGCUGUUUUAAGGUUAAGAAUCCAUAUACUAUGAUUUUAACUGACAAGCACAGAUCUAUCGUGACCUUCGAUUGAUAGUUAUGAUUCUCUGUCUUCAGUUCAGUGCGCUGGAUGUUGUCCCGUGAAAGGAAUAACGGUAUUGCGAGACUACCGUUUCAACGAAAUAUAUAUACUCGAGAAUUUCAACUGAUGAUAAGAUUUCAGUGUAAGCAAAAAGCAACAUAAGUACUUUAAUGCUCCUGUUUCCUUUCUUUAAAGCUUUGGGUUGCCAAGAAAUUAUUGGCAUGGAAAGUGGUGCGAUCAGUAACGGACAAAUAAGUGGCUCUUCCGGAUUGACCGGUUUUUUUCGGUAUU
rnacentral:lncRNA from 1 species